rnacentral:rRNA from 1 species
GACGAACCGUGCGAACGUUGUUCGGAAUCACUGGGCUUAAAGGGCGCGUAGGCGGGUCGGCAAGUCAGGGGUGAAAUCCCGCGGCUCAACCGCGGAAGCGCCUUUGAUACUGCCGGUCUCGAGGGAGGCAGGGGAGUGCGGAACUUCCGGUGGAGCGGUGAAAUGCGUAGAUAUCGGAAGGAACAUCGGUGGCGAAAGCGGCGCUCUGGACCUCUACUGACGCUGAGGCGCGAAAGCCAGGGAGCGAAACGGGAUUAGAAACCCAGGGUG